ensembl:piRNA 21ur-8428 ncRNA
UUGUUCUUUAUUACUGGGCGU